GCCAGACUCCUACGGGAGGCAGCAGUGGGGGAUAUUGCACAAUGGGGGGAACCCUGAUGCAGCGACGCCGCGUGGGUGAAGGAGCGUUUCGGCGCGUAAAGCCCUAUCGGCAGGGAAGAAGGAGGACGGUACCUGACUAAGAAGCCCCGGCUAACUACGUGCCAGCAGCCGCGGUAAUACGUAGGGGGCAAGCGUUAUCCGGAUUUACUGGGUGUAAAGGGGGCGCAGACGGCAGCGCAAGCCAGGAGUGAAAGCCCGGGGCCCAACCCCGGGACUGCUCUUGGAACUGCGCGGCUGGAGUGCAGGAGGGGCAGGCGGAAUUCCUGGUGUAGCGGUGAAAUGCGUAGAUAUCAGGAGGAACACCGGUGGCGAAGGCGGCCUGCUGGACUGCGACUGACGUUGAGGCCCGAAAGCGUGGGGAGCAAACAGGAUUAGAUACCCCUGUAUA
rnacentral:rRNA from 1 species